CCUACGGGUGGCAGCAGUCGAGAAUCAUUCACAAUGGGGGAAACCCUGAUGGGGCGACGCCGCGUGGGGGAAUGAAGGUCUGCGGAUUGUAAACCCCUGUCAUGGGGGAGCAAAUUAAAAAGAUAGUACCACAAGAGGAAGAGACGGCUAACUCUGUGCCAGCAGCCGCGGUAAUACAGAGGUCUCAAGCGUUGUUCGGAACCACUGGGCGUAAAGCGUGCGUAGGCUGUUUCGUAAGUCGGGGGUGAAAGGCGCGGGCUCACCCCGCGGACGGCACAUGAGACUGCGAGACUAGAGUAAUGGAGGGGGCACCGGCAUUCUCGGUGUCGCCGUGACCUGCGUAGCUCUCGAGAGG
rnacentral:rRNA from 1 species